GGAAGUAAACGUCGUAACAAGGUUUCCGUAGGUGAACCUGCGGAAGGAUCAUUAUUGGAUUUUGAAACUUCAGGCUGCUGCUGGCUCUCCUCGGAGGGCAUGUGCACGCUUGUUGUCCAUUAUUUCUCCCACUGUGCACAAAUUGUAGACCUUUCAGUAGGCCUAUGUUGUUUUUCACAAUCUCUGAAUGUAAUAGAAUGGUUUUGAAUCUUGGGAAAUACAAUACAACUUUCAGCAACGGAUCUCUUGGCUCUC
rnacentral:misc_RNA from 1 species